UUAAAACCCUAUGCCAACCUCAUCUCUCAGUUUGCUUCAACAAGGAAUGAAACAAAUAAUAAUAAGCCCAGAAACCUCUGAAGCUAAAGCAUUGGAGAAGGUGGAGGAUAAGUCCGAAGUUGCCAGGGCACAUACUAUACUAGAUUUCCCAACUUUCUUGCUUGUUAGCUCAAUAGAAAAUAGUUGAUUGAGCCUUCAAACAUUUAAAAUCAAUUGCAGGUGCUUGGCAGCAAAGGGUGAAGAGUCUAGUGAAUCUGAAAGAUAU